GCCGGAAUAGCUCAGCUGGUAGAGCAACUGAUUUGUAAUCAGAAGGUCGGGGGUUCAAGUCCCUCUUCCGGCA
rnacentral:tRNA from 1 species